CCCCUGCUUUAGAUCAAAAUCUAGUCCGCAAGUGUAAUGACACAAAAGUAAGAUGCGUAAAUGGUUAGGUUUAAUUUGGGUAUUUCCUUGGUGAAGCGACAGUUGGGAAAUAGAUUAGAAACGAGUAACGGACGAACGACGACGAAGUGACCGGCUUGUAGCAAAUAGAUACGACGUAGACUCUGCUCUUCUUCCAUAAUAAACUGUUGUCUUAUGUAAACAUUGGAUUAUUUCAUUAUUUACUAUUAUUUGUUCUGUUGGAGGUAGGUAUGAUAACAUAACCAGGGCAAUCUACACUUACUAUAUCUAAUCAACCACACUCAACACAAGAUGGUUGCCUGGUCGUGCGGUUUGUUACGUUCGGAUUUAUCGACGGUCGAGAGUUCAAACCCUGCCCGCUCCCAUCCCCCGUCGUCCUG